rnacentral:rRNA from 1 species
GAUGAACCCUGGCGGCGUGCCUAAUACAUGCAAGUCGAGCGAACAGACGAGGAGCUUGCUCCUCUGACGUUAGCGGCGGACGGGUGAGUAACACGUGGAUAACCUACCUAUAAGACUGGGAUAACUUCGGGAAACCGGAGCUAAUACCGGAUAAUAUAUUGAACCGCAUGGUUCAAUAGUGAAAGACGGUUUUGCUGUCACUUAUAGAUGGAUCCGCGCCGCAUUAGCUAGUUGGUAAGGUAACGGCUUACCAAGGCAACGAUGCGUAGCCGACCUGAGAGGGUGAUCAGCCACACUGGAACUGAGACACGGUCCAGACUCCUACGGGAGGCAGCAGUAGGGAAUCUUCCGCAAUGGGCGAAAGCCUGACGGAGCAACGCCGCGUGAGUGAUGAAGGUCUUCGGAUCGUAAAACUCUGUUAUUAGGGAAGAACAAAUGUGUAAGUAACUAUGCACGUCUUGACGGUACCUAAUCAGAAAGCCACGGCUAACUACGUG